rnacentral:rRNA from 1 species
AUUGAACGCUAGCGGGAUGCUUUACACAUGCAAGUCGAACGAGUGGCGGACGGGUGAGCAAUAUAUCGGAACGUGCCCAGUAGCUGGGGAUAACUACUCGAAAGAGUGGCUAAUACCGCAUACCUUUGGAUCGGCCGUUAUCGGAUUAUCUAGUUGGUGGGGUAAAGGCUCACCAAGGCAACGAUCCGUAGCUGGUUUGAGAGGACGAACAGCCACACUGGAACUGAGCCACGGUCCAGACUCCUACGGGAGGCAGCAGUGGGGAAUUUUGGACAAUGGGGGAAACCCUGAUCCAGCCAUCCCGCGUGUAUGAGAAGGCCUUCGGGUUGUAAAGUACUUUUGGCAGGGAAGCGGUAUCUGCAGAAUAAGCACCGGCUAACUACGUGCCAGCAGCCGCGGUAAUAC